GACAGAGGGUGCGAACGUUGCUCGGAAUCACUGGGCGUAAAGCGCGCGUAGGCGGACAGGAAAGUCGGUUGUGAAAUCCCUGGGCUCAACCCAGGAACUGCAUCCGAAACUCCCUGUCUUGAGUGACGGAGAGGAUAGUGGAAUUCCCGGUGUAGAGGUGAAAUUCGUAGAUAUCGGGAGGAACACCAGUGGCGAAGGCGGCUAUCUGGACGUCCACUGACGCUGAGGCGCGAAAGCGUGGGGAGCAAACAGG
rnacentral:misc_RNA from 1 species